rnacentral:lncRNA from 1 species
CCUUAAUCUGGUGCCGGAUGGGGUGGGGCACGGUGCGGGCUUCCGGCGGAAGCGCUGGAAGCAAGAUGGCGGCCGCCGAGAGGGUUCACAAAGGCUCUGGUCCAUUAGAGGAAGGAGGUCCCAGAAUAGCUGGGAAAUUACGAGAACAGCCUCACUGCACGAGUUGGUGAAUGCUGUGAUGGCGAUUGUAUGAUGGACGGUGAUGUUGAAACCAGACUGGGGAAUGACCGCCCCAUCCGGAGAGUUUGGUCAGAUGAAGACUGGGUGGAGAAGUUUGCUGGGAAGAGGAUAAAGAGGAAGGUGGUUGAGACUUCCCAAAGCAGAAAGCCAGGAGGUAAGAAUGACAGUUCAUGCUUCCAUAGGAGAGGCUGCUGCUUUCCACAUAGGGAAUUUCUGAGGUGAGUGGUGUUGGGUGAAUUUAAAGGAGAAGUUUUGGCUUUCUUAUCUAGGUGAGAAAUAUCUUAUGUGGGCUCAGGUAUUUGUGAUUGCUGCUGAGCAAGGCGGAUAUCUGAGGUGAGAAAGGAUGGUGAGUACUCUGCAUCACCAGCAUCCGCUAUCCUCCUAGUCUUUGGCAGCAGGCUCACUGUCUUCCUGUUCUUGCCCUAAUUCCAAGGGGGCAGAAUCAUGUAGAGGUCCCUUCCCCUCAGUCAGUACACAGGCACAAGGCUCUCCCUGCCCUCUCCACUUGCUCCUGCUUCUCCAUCAGGCCAUCCUGACUGUUGCUUCCCAGGAUAAUUUAAGGGCUCCUCCUCCUCAGUCCACCCUUUGAGCAGUGAUAUUUCCCUGAAUUCCUUCCUUAGCCCUCAGCACCUCUCUCCACAUUAUCCUUAUGCCAUGUCAGCCCCUUCUAUCUCCUAAGGUUAUAACGAUCUUUCAUUGUCCGAAUGAUAUUCUGAUCUCUAUCCCUAGCCCUGACCUUUCACAUAUUUCUGUUUGGGUGUCUUAUAGGCACCAUAAAUAAAGCAUAUCCCAAAUGGGUUUCAUCACCUUUCUGGUCUUUUUUUAUGCCCAAUCUUAGUUCACUUUGCCAUCUUCAACAUAGUCACACCCAAACCAGAUUCCUUGGUGCCAGCUUAGAUCCCUCACUGUAUUUCAUACCUAAUGCAUUACCAUACCCUGCUAAUUUUAUCUUUUAAAUCUUGCGUUUCUCCUCUCCAGUUUUCUUCUGCCACUGUUGUCUUGGCUGAGGCCUUAUCCUCUCUCCUGUGAAUAAUUGGAGUAGCUUCCUAACUGGUCUCCCUGCCCCAGGCCUGUUUUCCUCCUAUCCUUAGCAGCCAGAGGGAGCUUUCUAAAGGGCAGAUCUGACUAUCUCACUCUCCUUAAGCAUUCUAGGGACUCCCUUGAUUUAUAGGAUUGAGUCCAGCCUCCAUCAAAAGGGACAGAAGACCUCUCUAUGUUCUGAUUCCUG